AAGCAAGAGACUUCCAAACUUCCAUUGGCAACAGAGGAAGCCCAAGCUGAUGGAUGUGCAGCACAGAAGCAGGAUCUCCCCAGCCCCAGCAGGAGAAGGAGGCACCAG